rnacentral:rRNA from 1 species
UACGUAGGGGGCUAGCGUUGUCCGGAAUCAUUGGGCGUAAAGAGCGUGUAGGCGGCCCGGUAAGUCUGCUGUAAAAGUCAAAGGCUCAACCUUUGAAUGUCAGUGGAUACUGCCGGGCUAGAGUCCGGAAGAGGCGAGUGGAACUCCUGGUGUAGCGGUGGAAUGCGCAGAUAUCGAGGAAGAACACCAACGGCGAAGGCAGCUCGCUAGGACGGUACUGACGCUGAGAACGCGGAAAGCGUGGGGAGCGAACAGG